GCUCUUUAGCUUGUGGCUCAGUAUUAAAGCCUUGUCGGGCGCUUCGCCAGACACCAACUUAUUGAACGAC
rfam:Enterobacter aerogenes KCTC 2190, complete genome.